rnacentral:rRNA from 1 species
AUUGAACGCUGGCGGCAGGCCUAACACAUGCAAGUCGAACGAGGGGCGGACGGGUGAGGAAUGUCUGGGAACCUGGCUGAGGGAGGGGGAUAACUACAGGAAACGGUAGCAAAAAACGCAUACCAUCAGAUGGGCACAGAUGGGGUUAGCUAGUAGGUGAGGGAACGGCCCACCUAGGCGACGAUCCCUAGCUGGUCUGAGAGGAUGACCAGCCACACUGGAACUGAGACACGGUCCAGACUCCUACGGGAGGCAGCAGUGGGGAAUAUUGCACAAUGGGCGCAAGCCUGAUACAGCCAUGCCGCGUGUGUGAAGAAGGCCUUCGGGUUGUAAAGCACUUUCAGCGGGGAGGCGUUACCCGCAGAAUAAGCACCGGCUAACUCCGUGCCAGCCGCCGCGGUAAUUC